AAAUUAAGUCUAAUUUUUUGCUUAUAUGUAAAUUUUUGUGUAAGUUUAUUAGGUUUUAAUAGCAAGAUUAAUUUGCAGUAAAUAAUUUUAAAUAUUAAUGAAAAUUAGAUUUAGAAAAAAUUUUUAUUAUUAACAAAAUUUGUGCCAGCAGUUGCGGUUACUCAAAUAAUAUAAUUUAAUUUUAAUUAGAAUUAAUUAAUAGUAAUGAAAAAUUUAAAAUAUAAUUUAUUAGGUGAAAUUAGUAAAUUUUAAAAAAUUUAAAAUAUGAAUUUAAGAAGUUUUAUAAUUAAACUAGGAUUAGAUACCCUAUUAUUAAAAAUGUAAAAAAAGUUUCUAGAUUAGUAUUAGAUAUGUUCUUGAAAAUUAAAAAAUUUGGCGGUAUUUUAUUCUAUUCAGAGGAAUCUGUUCUAUAAUUGAUAAUCCACGAGUUAAAUUACUUUUUUUAAUAAUUUAUAUAUCGUCGUAGUUAGAAUAUUUUAUUAGAAUUAUAAUAUUCAAGAUUUAUUUUUUAAAAUAAAUCAGAUCAAGGUAUAGUUUAUAAUAAAGAAGAAAUGGAUUACAUUUAAAAUAAAUGAGGAUUUUAAAUUUAAAAUUUAAAUGAAUAAGGAUUUGAUAGUAAUUUAGUUAAAAUUAAUUAAAUGAUUUUAGUUCUAAAAUAUGCACAUAUUGCCCGUCGCUUUCAUUUAAAAUGAAAUAAGUCGUAACAAAGUAGAUUUACUGGAAAGUGAAUCUGGAAAG
rnacentral:ncRNA from 1 species